UGCAGAUAGAUUAUUUGGUGAUUUUUAUUUAAAUAUUUGAAGAGGGGAACUACAGAGCAGUGAAAGUACAUACAUGUUCCAAUAGUAAAGGACACACAAACAUUUCUUGUGGGAAACUAUCACCUACCAAUUUCAGCUUUGUAGUUGAAUGUUGGCCACGUAGUUCUAUAGUAUAUAUACUGAAGUCUGGGUAAUGAAAAAUGAUGUGGAAAUUGGUUGAAUCACCCAGUUGUUGUUUGCUUCUUUCAGAAUUAUAUGUAAGCACAUACACAUUUGUAAUACACAGAAACAUAAUGCAUAUUUACAUAUGUGACCAAUCACUUGGUUUGGCUUUUUAUCACAAUGACUGCUCAAAAUUCUGUAUGUUUAAAAACUUUACUAUGUAGGUCUUAAACUAAGUUUCAAAAUGAACAAAGCAACACGU
rnacentral:lncRNA from 1 species